ACUCGGUUAGCUCAGUUGGUAGAGCGCGAGCCUGUAAAUCUAAAGGACAAGAGUUUAAGUCUCAUAUCACGCG
rnacentral:tRNA from 1 species